GUGACAGAAAUAUCAAGAAAUGCAUUUUAGCUCUCACUUUGGUAGGAGGUUGUCCAGCAGGACUAUUGCAAUGGACUUUUGACAGGUCUUACCAAAAAAUAAAAACUGUGGAGCAACUGCAGAUUGUUCAGAAUGCUGCUGCUAGAGUCUUAUCAAGAACCAACAGAACCAAACACAUCACUCCUGUUCUUAAAUCUCUGCACUGGUUACCAGUAAACUACAAAAUCAAUGUCAGUGCUUCUACUAGUUUAUAAAUCACUCGGUGGCAUGGGGCCAGAGUACAUGUUGGAUCUUCUUCCUGUACGUAUGCCCAGCAGGGCUCUGAGAUCCUUGGGAAGUAGUCAGCUGGUAGAACCUUGGGUCAGAACCAAUCAGGGUGAAGCUGCGUUUAGCUACUAUGCUGCACACAGAUGGAAUCAGCGUCCUUAUGACCUCAAAUCUGCCCCAACUCAUGUAACUUUUAAAUCAAAAUGUAAAACUUUUGUGCAUUCAUCAGCCUUUGAAUGAUCGUUACUUAUACUGCUCCAUCUGCACCGUAAAUGUUCAUCCUUUCUGUUGUUCAGGCGUUAUGGGCGACGGUGGCACAGGAGUUAAGUGCCCGUUCUGUAAUCGGAAGGUUGCAGGUUCAAGCCCCACUCACUCUGUUGCUGUCAUUGUGUCCUUGGGCAAGACACUUAACCCACCUUGCCUGCUGGUGGUGGUCGGAGGGACCGGUGGUGCCUGUGUACGGCAGCUUCGCCUCUGUCAGUGCGCCCCAGGGCAGCUGUGGCUAAAAAGUAGCUCAUCAGGGUGCGAAUAUGUGAAUGUCGCCUUGCAGGCUUUUACUUUUUUUUAUAUUUUCUGAUAUCUUGUGUUUGUCACACACACACACACACACACACACACACACACACACACACACACGCUUGUGGUGGAACAACUUCUGUAACUUUUCCACAGCAGAACAAAACAUCAUUUUUUAGUAACAAAAAACUUUGUACCCAAAUAAAACUAACAUCCUCAUGUUGUUCUUGUUUAGGUACAAGCAGCUAACACAUGUGCAGCAAAGCUAGAAGCGUUUUAAAACUCCCGUGAGUCACUGCAGAAAGUCAUUCAAGAGUAAAGAAAUGACUCCUGGGAUUGUUUAUGGGUUGGUUAUUGAUUUUUACCAAGAAGCAGCCAAUUACAAAGAGUAUUAAUAAAAGUUUCUCAGGAAAAGAAUAAAAUCCUGCCGCUGAUUGCUGAAAUGAACUAAAACGGGAUAACCUGGUGAAACAACUUCCUGUCACGCUGAGCAGGAGGUUAGGGCCCAAAAACGCAGAACACCAGAUCACUCAAGCCAGGAGCCGAUGUAAAGAAAUAAAUCCUUUAUUUAAAGGAGGAUGCGCCAAAGUCCCAAGGCAAAACAAAAGUCAGGCUUAAUUCCCAAAUGCACUGAGCGGUCAAAAAACAAAAGCAGAAGCUCUCAUAUGAGCACGGACUCGGGCAAAACGCGAGAGAGGACAAGACAGGGUUUUAAACACAAAGGGAAGCAAUCAGGGGAGCAGGUAACCGGUGUGAGGAGUGAGGUCUAGAGGGAAGACAGGUGCCAUAAAUAAACUAAAUGGGGAAGGAACAAGCAGAGGGCAAGAUAAACCAUAACCUAUAAAACACUAAGGCCUAGUCCACACGUAGCCGUUUUUUUUAACGAAUAUCCGCCCCUCCAAAAACUUGCAUCCACACCACCUCAUUUAAAAAAAAAUACUUUGUCCACACGUACCCGGAUAAAUACGUUGUUAAGGACAUGCCAGACCUGUAGGCGGCAGUACUUCCCCCGUUCUUAACCUCGUCCUUCGUCUGUGGUCUUCCGUAAGGAGCAGUAAUUCCGCUUGCAAAAACAAACAAGCAGAAAGCGCUUGGACAAUUGAUAAAGCGAGCGCAGCUCUGAGGGCAUCCAUGCUGUCGGCUAGUGUAAACACAGGUUGCACACGUGAUGUCAGCAUUUUUUUGUCGCGGAAAGUGACGUUGCGGACCUUAAAACUCCGGUUUUGUCUGUCCACACGCAGACACCCAAAACGGAGAAAACGCAGAUCUUCACUUUGGCCGGAGUUUUUAAAAAGAUCUGUUUUCGUUUGGAUGACAGGCCAAAACGUAGAAAAAUAUCUACGUUUUGGCAGAUCCCCGGCUACGUGUGGACAGGGCCUAAAUGUUUAUGUUUAUGUUUAUUCACUUAGCAGACGCUUUUAUCCAAAGCGACUUACAAUUUAUAACCUAUAGGGCAUGUUGUGAACUGUGGCGGAAACCGGAGUACCCGGAGGAAACCCACGCAUGCAUGGGCAGAACACGCAACUCCACGCAGAAAGGCCGCAGCCAAGUUUCGAACCUGCGACCUUCAUGCUGCGAGGCAACAGUGCUAACCACUGCGCCACCAUGCAGUAAAUAAGUAAACCUAGAAACUAAGGGCAAAGAUAAACAACUAAUGACUAGAGGGGUGAGGAGGACUAAUGCAAACAAAUAGGAACUACAACAGAGUGACUAGGAGGAAACAUGAGGAAGCCUAGAGGUUGCUGGGGAACACAAGAAGACACAUGAGGAGAACUUGAGUGGGCUGGGGAAGUAUAAGGACACACAGAGCACAAGGGGACGCAUGAGGAGAACGCAGAGGAAGAACAGGAGGGGGCUGGGGACCAAGGGGACACAGAACAUGACACUUCCAGGUUCGGGAUCUGAUCUAACUUUUCCAUUAAUCGUCUUUUUGGUGUGUUUCUGUCCCCGUUCAGCUGCUACUGGUUCUUCUCUCCUGCUGAUGGGGAGCAAACACGCUGCUGCUGGAUGACACGUGCAGCUGGGAGAAAGCGCUCCUCUGGAACAAUGUCUUCUCUCUGAAUACACUCGCGCUGGCUUGUUACUGUUCAAAUGAGCAUAAAAGCAACAACAGGCAAAGCGGCGUCAGAUCUAUCGAGGCUGUGCCCAGCAAACCAGAUUUCGUGGCUACGCGCUGAGAAGCAAUCAGUGACAUUUUGUCUGAAAAGACAAAUCAACCUGGAUAAUUUGUAACGGCUCUGAACCGUUGUUUACCUCCUGCUGCACGGCCUUUGCCAAGGUAACGUCGGGAUCCGAGCCGUGCUUUUGCACGAGCAGAGACGAGUUUAGUCAAAUUUAUUCGCAGCACAAACACGAGAAAGACAAAGGCUGAGAUGAGGUGGAGGGAAACAGCAGUUUAGAUGAAAGCCGGUGCGAAUUUCAAGAGGCCGUGCAGAUUUUAAGACAAUGGUAUGAAGACGCAGGUGAGCGAUCCCCCAUCUGUGUGUUUGAUGAAGUGGCUCAGUGGCAGCGGCACACCGAAACUGCACACGCCAAAAACUUUCUGGCGGAUGCCGUUCGCUAGCAGCAGUCGAUGUAAUUUGUUGAAGUGCUCUUGCACUUAUGUAUGCUGAUUGCAUGAAAAUACAAAGAAGGGUGCCGAGGGACCGUCUGUCUCUGUAGCUUAAGAUUACAGAGUUUGGUUUAAGGACGCUUCAUUAGAGGUAGCCCCAGUGAAUCCGUUAUUUCUGGUAAUAUUAGCAGAAGUGUUUCCCUCUAGAGGGGGACAAAAAAAACAAUCUUAAGCUCUUUUUCCAGCAAGUAGCAUGAAGUCUGCAGCUCCACAGUGUGUGUUUGGCCAAUGUACCUUCCCCUGCUGCUGCUUGUAGUUUUGGCCACAAUGCUCUUCUCUGUUGUUCAGACAAAAAAGCACUUAUCAGCAAACGGCAUGCCAAUCUUUUUUUGGGUUUGCAGCACUCAAAAGGUGGCCCGAGGAAUUUUGUUUGAGUCUCCAUAAGUCAUCCUCGCAUCUGUUACACCUCCAUCUGCGGCAGCAACGUCCUUAGAGAGAGUUCUCGCUCAAGCUCCAUGCGCCGCCGCUCAUCGAACGUCGUCCAUAUGUUUCCUCCCACAGAGCGCGUGUAGCGUCAAUCAAGACUUCACUUAGUUCUGACACUGUGAUGUAAAGAGGAAAAGGGCAGAUAUUAAAUGGUUGUGUGUGUGUGGAGUUUGGUAACAUGACAAUCACAGAAAAUCCAAAGAGAAUUAAUUUAAUGAAUGCUUUGCUGCCUGCAUGCAGAGCGGUGCUCGUUCAUCCUCACACUGGUAUUUGUGCUGCUACGCUGAAGUCAUUUAGCUCUGUGAGCUGCCCUGCGUCUCAGCGCCAGCUGGCCCGCUGGCUGCAACACCACCACUGAGAUGUUGUGGAGGAAAAUACGAUGUCUGCAGCCAAUUCCUCGCUGCUCGGUUCUUCGUUGUUCGGUCCGGUAAGGACCUAACUCCAGCCCUGGCUGAGUCCAAAAUGGUCUCAUCUGUGUGACUGAGUGGUUAUAUUUUGUCAUGUUGUAGAUAAACAACAACAACAGCAGGUCUGCGCUAUCAUUUCCAACAAAAUAAGUGGAACCACGUCACGUGUGUUUGUUUUGAUUAGAAUGCACAAUUUUGCACAAUCUUUUUAAAAUUCUGCUCAUCUCUACUUCUGCCCCCACGUUUUACACAGUUGAUGUGUUCCAGUGUGGGUUUAGGCCACUUCACAGUACCGAAUCAGCCCUUCUUCGCGUGACCAAUGACAUCCUGGUGGCUUCUGACUCUGAGUUGCCUGUUUUGCUCUUACUAUUAGAUCUUUCUGCAGCAUUCGAUUCCGUUGACCACAAUAUUUUGCUGGAUAGACUUGAGUCAUGGGUAGGGCUCAGGGGUACCUCACUUCAGUGGUUCUGCUCAUAUCUGUCAAAAAGAGUUUUCAAGGUUCAGUUGGGUAAUUGUUCCUCUACAUUCCUUCCACUUCCAUGGGGAGUCCCGCAGGGAUCUGUGCUUGGACCUCUCCUGUUUUCAAUUUACAUCCUCCGCCUGGGUUUCAUCCUGAGGAAAUAUGGCCUGGGCUAUCAUAUUUAUGCAGAUGAUUGCCAGAUCUACCUGGCUUUGAACAAACCAGGCUCCCUCUCUCUUCUGGACCAAUGUUUGGCUGAAGUGAGGGUUUGGCUUGCCAACAAUUUCCUUAAGCUAAAUGAUUCUAAGUCUGAGGCACUCCUGAUGACCCCUAACAAAACCACACACAUAUCUUCUGAUUUGGCCACUCUACCUUAUGACCUCAAGCAGUGUGUUACCAACCUGGGGGUGAAACUGGAUACACACUUUUCCAUGGGCCCUCAGAUUAACGCAGUGGUCAGAUCGUGUUUUUAUCAGCUGCGCAGACUAGUCCGCUUAAAACCAAUCCUGAAAUGAGCACACCUGGAAUCUGUAAUUCAUGCUUUUAUCACCUCCCGACUGGAUUAUGCAAAUUCCAUUUUAAUUGGCUUACCUGCCUCUGCUCUUAACAGGCUUCAGGUCGUACAGAACGCAGCAGCCAGGUUUUUAACAAACACCCCUAGAAGAGACCAUAUCACACCUGUACUGGCGCGGCUUCACUGGCUACCCGUAAACUUCAGAGUCAAGUUUAAAAUCCUGAUUUUUGUUUUUAAGGCCCUGAACGGUCUGUCUCCGGAUUACCUGUUGGAUCUUGUCACUCGUUACGUGCCGAACCGGGCGUUGAGUUCUGCUGAUUGCCUGCUGCUUCGGGUUCCAUCAAUGAAAUACAAAACGCGGGGGCAGCGUGCUUUUGUCUAUGCUGCUCCAACACUCUGGAAUGCUCCUCCUCUUUCAGUGAGGCUGGCACCAUCCCUCCUCCGGUUCAAGUCGCUGCUUAAGGCUCAUUUUUACGACCAGGCAUUUUUAAAUCCCUGACUUUUAUUAUUUUAUUAUGUGUCUUUUUAUUGACUGUGAUUAUCUGCCUUGUUGUGCAUUUUAUUGUUGACUGUGUAUUGUUUUAUAUUGUGUUUUUACUUUUUAUUCUGUACAGCACUUUGGUCGGCUGCCAUGCCGUUUUUAAAUGUGCUUUAUAAAUAAAGUUGGUAUGGUAUGGUAUGGUAGAAAUCCUCCCCGUUUUCCAUCUAAUGUUUGAAAAGUGCAGCUUACCAGACUUCACAUUAAUGCAGCCAAGGACGAGUAGUGUGUGACAAAAAUGAAACGAGCAAAAUGUCCUUGUGGAAUAUUGUCAUCUUGUUUUUUCUUCCUGCAUUGUUGAUACAAAUGAUGUUGUUUUCAAUGCAUCAAGCAGCGCUGUCUGCCCUUUUAUAAGGAACAUGAUUUACGGAGCUUAAAUGUUGGACACCAGUCUUCACCUAAAGACAGCUUUUGUGUUAUUUGUGCAUGCAGCAAACCUAACAUUUAAUAUAAAAUUCUUUAUUUUUAUUUUGAUCAUCAGUGACUAUUUGGCCCCCUCCAGAGGCUUUUCCGUACCACCGAAGUGUAACAUCCAGCCGCCCAGAAGCUAUCCAGCCAAUAAAAAAGGGAGCCAGUUAUCCAGCUUGCCUGCCUGCCGGCUCUCUGCUCUCAGACAGACGGUGGGGAACAGUUCCUGCCCUCCUCCCUGGGAUGAGAAUGGAAAGGAAUGUUGUUUACCCCAAACACAGCAGGUCACUACAGAGGAAAACAUAUCAAAACACAGAAUCUGAGGUAUAUCGAGUAAGUAGAAACACUUACCUAGGUCUGCAUCAAUAAUACACUCAUUUAAAAGUAAUUGGGUGACACUUUUUUGUAAAAACUUCACCCAAAACAUGCAAAAGGCCUAUUUUUGCACUCUUUGUCAGGCACUUAACAUCAAUGAGUGGAACAAGUUUUAAAACUCCAGAACUGAUGGACUGAAUAUAGUCGGUACAUAGAUGUGUUUUUUUCUUCAUUAAAGCACAAAAGCAGCAUGUGGUCGGUGCCUCAAUUGCAUAAAAGUAAAAAAUAUUUAUAUAUUAAAAUUUGACAAGAAAUUCUGAAUUUUAGUCCAUUUUAAAAGACGUUGUAUGGUCCCGCAACAUACUCUGGCACUAAAGCCAGAUGGUGAGAGGGCUUAAGCACAAGUAGGUGCCGUUAAAGCGUCAUGAGAGAUCUAAUUUGAGUUUUUUUUUGUACGAAAUAUAAUUGCAGGAACCCUCAAGAGGCAUUACACUCCAGCCGAGGCAUUAUUAGAACGACUUGAUGUCUCUGUUGAUGUAUUUAAUGCCCUUGAGUGUCUGUCAUGCAGUGUGAACUACUGUAUUCACAGAUGGGGCCCGAGGCACCACCAAGAGCACAGGUCAAGCCUGAACACGGUGACAAUAGAGGUGAGGCAGGAGGUCCAUUCACCUCCUUUCAAAGGCCUUUCACAAAGUGCACGAGGGUUUUAGUUUGAUGAUAAAUGAUGUCAAAGAGGGCAGAGGUCACUUAGAAAGCCACAGGGGUCAGAGCUGGGUCACAAUUAAGAUUAGAAGUUCAAGUUCAAAAAAGUUUGUCAGGUUUGGUUUUAAAUGCAUCACUAAUAAGAAAAGUUGUUCAAUUUUAGCAUCAAGAUACGGCUGAAAUUAUACUACGGCUGAUAGUUAUGAUCCAUUCAUUCAAACCAGGUGUUUAGGUGCAGAGGAACAUAGAGAAAAUGCAGGAAGUGGUCCCCGAGAACCAGGACUGAUUCUCCCUGGACUAGAGUAAUAUCCUUUCCAUCGCUCCAUCUCUUACCCAACACAAGGUAGUCCUCUUCAUGAGGCAGAGACUCACUCCCAAUCCAAAUGAUACAUUCCAGCUUUUUACCAGUUGACAGCCGUGGCAUCAAGUUUGGAUGUUUCUCUUCCUGACUUGUUUUCCAGGGGCGGUCUUAGGAGGGGCCCAGGUGGGCCAGUGCCACCCUCACAACAAGCUCGGGCCCCACUAUUUAAUUAAGUCAAGAGUCAAAAAACAGCUGUAAGGCUGACUUUGACUCAGUCUGGCUGAGGAUUCACACGGCUGAAACUUUGGCAUCUCGACCAAAAACAGUGAUGUUAGUGACAUUAGUCAAACAGCAAAACUCAGUCAGCAAAAUAUAUAUUUUUUAUUACUAGAUCUGAGUCCGUUGUGUUGAAGCUUGAUUUCCAUGCAGAUUCACCUGUUUCAACAGAAGAGUCAAAACGUGGAUGAUGGAGAGUGUCCAUGCUGUCUCUGCUUGUCGUCAUCUUUGUCUAGCGUUCAAAAGGGGUGUUUGUAACUCAGUUACAAAUAUUCACACUUGAAUUUGAUUGGCUGCAGAGGCACUACUAGGACCAUCUCAAGUUGGUGUUCAUCACAGUGACAUCACAUUCAAGUCAGUGCAAAAACGGUCAUUUCCUUUGAAAAUAUAAAAAUUGUAUUUGUUUAACUCCUCUGGAUGUGCUGCUUGGGAGUUAUUUAUGUUCUCAUGAAGGCUUUGGUGUGAGCUGAAAAUGAGCUAACAAUGCACUGGUUACCGAAGUGGAAAACCUGCCAGGAUCUUCUGCAGGAGCGGGAAAGGGCAGCGGUCUGAGAACCAGUGGGACUCCAGCUGUCUCAGCCAGCCGUUCCGAGCAUUUUGUUUUGACCUUCAAAACACCUCAGACCUACUUAAGACUACCCAGGUACUGGCGGAGCUGCAGCCCUCCCUUCUGCUGAUCUCUGUGAAUUUAUGACCUUUCUCAGUGCCUUUCCAAUAGGUCUGUAAAGCCCUCGGGUCAUGAAACCUUUUUAGUUUCCAGUGUACAGACAGAGCAUAGCAGGAUCAUUUAUUAGGGGGGCAUUCUCCUUCUGUUUCAGCUCUCCAUCCAGAGGGAGGUCAGACAUGAAGGUCUUCAUCAGGGACUCCAAAGCUUCAUAGCAGAACUUAAUCACAACUCGCCCUGCUUCUCUUUAUUCAGCAUUUUAACAGCAGCACUCUGCAUUCAUCACUUUGUUUGCUGUAAUUAUCCGGUCUCAUAACAUCUGAGUGGCACACUGUUGGUGACAAAUCUCUGUCCCCAUGUAAAGGCUCGGCUCAUUAGUGGAAAGAGAGGUUAAACGUCCAGGUGGAAAGGAGUCUUCACUGGAGGACAUAUUUCUUUAGUAGUUUGCAGAUAUUUCUAGGAAUAAAACCUGCACACGCUGUUUAAGCCUCCAGAGAGGAAAUACGGGAGACACUCGCUUUUAAAAAAAGCACUAAUGAAGGAAAUGCAGAUUGUUUUUAUGAGUUUGUAUUUCAAACAUUUGAUUCAUAUUUGUUUUUCAGUUCAAAAGAAAUUCUAGUUAAGCAAAUAAGUACUUGAACUCACCUGGUUUAAUUGGAUUCAAAUGUAAAAAGGAGCUAUCAACAAGGCUGUGUUCACACUUUAUUUAAAGGUGCAAUAUGUAAGAAUGAAGUAAAAACCAGCAUUGUGGUCAAAAUGGGUACUGCAGCCCAUUUUUCUAAACAAAAAGUUACUUUCUCUCAACUUUUUUGUGAGUUUUAUUGCUGUUGCCAGGUACGGAUCGCUUACUACAUUUAUGUUUAUGUUUAUUUACUUGGCAGACGCUUUUAUCCAAAGCGACUUACAAUUUAUAACCUAUAGGGCAUGUUGUGCUCCGUGGGGGAAACCGGAGUACCCGGAGGAAACCCACGCAUGCAUGGGGAGAACACGCAACUCCACGCAGAAAGGCCGCAGCCGAGUUUCAAACCUGCAACCUUCGUGCUGCGAGGCAACAGUGCUAACCACUGCGUCACCGUGCAGCCCACUUACACUUACUACAGCGUGUGGUUGUUUGCCGUCUUGCUGUUAGUUUGCUGUCAUAGUUCUGAAUGACUCAUUAAAUUAGUAAAACACCACGAUUGACCCAUUAUUAACUUCACACAUACGUUUCACUGUAACAUCAAGUUGUUAGUAAUUAAAGAAUUGCUUGAUGUUUCUAGAAUCGUCUAUUUGCUUCUAAUUCACCAUUAGCAUUGUUAGCUCAAUGUUAGCUUCUAGCUUUCUUUUCCCGACAUUAGACUAACAAAACGAUGCCGGGUUUCUCAUGGGAAAAAUAAAUAACUUCUGGGUCACUCCUGUUUACCGGCUUAGGUUCUCUAAACAACUCUGGCGAUGUUACUUGCUGGUGCUUAAAAUUCAACUGGCAGCCAGGAAUAUUGCCAUUGCAUACAUUGUUGUAAACUCUGUUAUUUUAUUUCAUUUUAUGAAUAUACACAUUUUUAUAACUGUCACAUAUUUUAUACACCAAUUUUUACUGCUUCCCUGAUGUAAAACUGAAAGAGUUUGCCGUUUUUAUGUCUUAAGAGCUUUUGUUUGAGUUGGGCAUUCAGAUCAAUGAGGGUUCCUGCAGGGGCAUCAAUAAGACACAGCCAGACGAAUCAAACCACUUUAGAGAGUGUUAGAGCGGUCGGUGCGUUUCUGAGACAUGUCUGCAGUUAAUGGUAACCAUGUGAAAUGUCUAAAUGUGGUGGAAAGACGCUGGGAAUAUUGUGAGUGAACGUCUUGCAUGAACUUCUGAUUUUGUGCUUGGGUGAGCGUGGCGAGAGGUGGAAGCAUUGUGAGUGUGUGCUCAACCACCAAAUGCAAAAAAAAAUUGGAAUGUUUUCAGAGACCGAAAUGGCACCGGAGCAACACAUCUUUAGUUAACUUUCCCUCCGUUUUUGAGGUUUGAAGACAAAAAAGAGGUACAAAAAUAUUCAGAACCAUCCAGCAUCGCUCCAGUCGCAGUUAUCUCGUCACCCACUCUCUGCUAUGAACCUGUUUGACCCAGCUGCACACACGCCUUCGGGAUCCAAACACACAAACAGCAACACACACCAGAUGUGAGCGUGCACGCUCGACGGGAGGCAAAAGGAUGAAACAGUACACCGUCUCAUUGUGACACACUGAAAACACACACCUCUUUUCUUCCCUGCUGAAGGGUAGAUAUUCACACCCCUCGGUGACUCUGACAAUGCGACAGCUUUCAUCACACGACACACUUACACACAUACAAACACAAAUAAUGACCGGUGUGUGCAUGCAUGUAUGUGUGUGUGUGUGUGAGCAAACGGCAUGCACAUUCCUGAAGCCGCUGACCUGGGCUCUUUGGGUAACCAUGGCGACCACUGCUUCACCAUGGAGACGACCGUUACUCCCUCAUUUACUCACCCUCCUCCUCCUCCUCUGCUCCCUACUCACCAACCCCACCCUGCUCUUCGUCUUCUUCUUCUUCAGCGCUUCCUUGGCGCUCAAAGUGAACCCGUUACUAAAAUGAGAGCCAGGUGGGCUCUUCAUCUUUCUGAAGAGUCUUCCGUUGUUUUCCCCACCCGUUCCUUUGUAUUUGUGCCAGUUGUGUGGAAAUGUGUGUGUUUUUGUCACAUACAUCUCACAAUUACAUUGUUUGUUUGCUACAAAUCCAAUUUAUAGAGUGAAACUAACAACAACAUUCUGUUUGCAAGUAAAGUUCAUCACAGCUUUUGCCCUUAAGUAUGUUUUCAUUCCAAAGUGAAAGUGAAUCCUCACACACACUUUGCACAUUUAAAGAUUUCUGAUCUGAGUUAUUGGUCAUUUUAAUGAUUUAGCACCUCUAGCCUAACUGCUACCCCGUAUUUCAUUUAUGAACAGCACAAUUGGUCUGUUGCACCUUGGAUGUUCAGCACAACCUCCUGUACUAAUGCUGCUGAUGGAAUUAGCCAGGUGGAAACCAGUGUGAAUGUAAACUCGUAAAAAUACUUGAAAUUUUGGUUUUUCCACAACAAAAUCACUGAUUUUUGCAAUAGUGUGCAAAGAAGGUUGUAGAUCAGGGGUGUCAAACACAUUUUAGCUCAGGGGCCACAUUGUGAGAAAUCUAGUCCCAAGUGGGCCGGACCGGUAAAUUAAAAACAACUUCAGAUUGUUUUCUUUGUUUUAAUACAAUAUAUAUAAAACAAGGCUGGAGCCUGAGGACAGUGUAUCCAAAAUAGUACAAGUACAACACCUGAAGUGUACUUGAAAAUUUGAAAAAAAUAAAAAAUCAAUCAAUAAAUAAAAACUUCCUUAGUGAUUCAAAGAGCUUACAGAUCGCAUGGCUAGAUCAGUUCUAUGCAGCACUUAAAGUAUAAUUGACUCAUUUUACUUUACAUCUUUUAGCUUUCACCAGCACAUCAAUAUCAGAAGUCUCAUCCUGAGUGGCGCCAACUUCAGGAUGUGAUUCAAGUUCUUGUGUGAGUCUUGAGCGCAGCAUUGUUUUAUUUAUACUCAUUACAGAGGAAACUUGCUCACAAAGAUAAGUUUAUUUUCACUCUACAUUGUACAGUAUGAAAAUAAAGUUUACACAACCAUCUCGUGGGCUGGAUUUUAUGAAGGUCAAUCUGUUUCAAAAAGCACAAACCUGUAGAUCUGUUGCGUGUAUUUGUACUACAUGAUGGGUGCUUGAAAACAGUGUGUGUGUGUGCGUGCAGUACAGUGUGAGGAGCUGUACACCAACACCCGUAAACCUGUAAAGCUAAAUAUGCACCUGUAAGAAACACUCACAUGCAUUUGAAAUAAAAUACAGUUGUGUGUGACAUUUUCAACUACAAGUCUGUAAACACAAGUGUACAGAUCUGUUUCUGCACACGCUCAACUUUUUUAUUACAGUUGCACAGCUUUCCUCUCACACAUCUGAUUUUUGAAACUAUUUUCACGAUUAAUAUGUGUCAAAAUGCACAAGUUUGUAAAUUUGUUGUCUGAUUCCGUACAACACAAUGUGGACUUGAAGAUUGGAUGUGAGUGUGUGUACCGUAAAAGGUGAGCUUGAAGUUUUGAGGUGAGUGUCUGUGCAUUAAAAUGUGAGAAGCUGCACAUCAACAUGUGUGAAAUUGUGAAGAUAAAUGGUACUUGUAAGAAAAAGUAAAUUGUAUGUGAAACAAAAUAAACUUACAUGUAAAAUUUUCUUCUGCGACCCAGUAAAUACAACUUCUCAAAUACGUUUCUGCGCAUGCUCAGUUGUUGUUUUACAAGCGCACAACUCUCCUCUCGCGAGUCUGACUUUUGAAACACUUCUGGCAGGUUGUGUGUUGCAAAUUGCAGCUGUGUGUAUCUGCAGAGGCGAGCGGAGCAGGGGAUGAGGGCGAGGGUGGGGGCGGAAGGAGGAGCCACAGAGGGAGGGUUGUCAUUGGUCGGCUCUGGUUUCCAGGACAACAGGCUCAACCAAUCAGAGUGAGAGCUGCGUUUUUUCCCUCGGCUUUCAGUCCGCUGCCGUCUGCAGUUCGCGAUGGCUGAACGAGCUGGGGAACUGCUGCUCAACUAUCUGCUUGAAAGACUUUACAACCGUUCCUCUAAUUGGCUUGAUCGAGUUCCUCUAGAUCUCGAUUUUUUGGAAUUUGUAUGUUGUCAGGAGCUGGUUAUUCUGGGUGCUAUCUCAAACCAUUUGACGUCCCUCAGGACAUUUUAAAUGCACUUGCCCAAGUUUAUCAGAGACCUGCAGUCAAAAUAAAAAAGCACAAAUUAUUGUUGCUCACGAAAGAGGAGCCAUUGGUCGUCCCAAACUACUUAUUCCUGAGAAAUACACAGAACACCUCAUUUCUUUAGGUUUACCUGUCACGUGUAUUGCACAGCUGCUGGGGAUAUCUAGAGUUACAUUACACAGGCAAGUGAAAGAAUGGGGUUUAAGUGUGAGCCAAACUUACAGCACCAUGACUCACGAUGAGCUAGACUCUCUAGUGUCACAGAUCCAUGCCAGAAACCAAAAUGCAGGGUAUAGAUUGAUAAUAAUAAUAAUGCAUUGAACUUAUAUAGCGCUUUUCAAGUCACCAUGAUGAAAGGUCUGCUGAAGUCACAAGGAUAUAGACUUCAGUGGGAGUGUGUUCGGUCCUCUAUGCGCAGAUUAGACACUGCAGGCGUGGUUUCCUGAAUGUCCCAUCUCCGUUGUGUGGUCAGAAGAACGUAUUCUGUGCUUAGCCCAAAAUCAUUUUAUUGCAGGAGCUUUACAUUCCACAGAUUGAAUGGGAAUCCAGUGGACUCAUCGACAUUGAACACAACUCUAGUGUUCAAGUUCCAGAAGUUGAAUGCCCGCUAAGUCCAGGAGAAUAUUCUGGACUCUGUGCAGCUGUGGAUCCACUGAGGUCAAUCUUGGGAUUGACAGUUAUUUAGCCACACGGCAUUACAUGCAAACCAUUGGCUAUAAUAAAAUCUUUCAUUUUUUGCA